UACGUAGGGCGCAAGCGUUGUCCGGAAUUAUUGGGCGUAAAGAGCUCGUAGGCGGUCUGUCACGUCUGCUGUGAAAACCCGGGGCUUAACCCCGGGCUUGCAGUGGAUACGGGCAGACUAGAGGCAGGUAGGGGAGAAUGGAAUUCCCGGUGUAGCGGUGAAAUGCGCAGAUAUCGGGAGGAACACCGGUGGCGAAGGCGGUUCUCUGGGCCGAUACUGACGCUGAGGAGCGAAAGCGUGGGGAGCGAACAGG
rnacentral:rRNA from 1 species